GCUAGUAAUCGCGGAUCAGCAUGCCGCGGUGAAUACGUUCCCGGGCCUUGUACACACCGCCCGUCACACCAUGGGAGUUUGUAACGCCCAAGGUCGGUGGCCUAACCUUUAUGGAGGGAGCCGCCUAAGGCGGGACAGAUGACUGGGGUGAAGUCGUAACAAGGUAGC
rnacentral:rRNA from 1 species